rnacentral:rRNA from 1 species
CACGUAAUGGUGGGCACUCUAAGGAGACUGCCGGUGACAAACCGGAGGAAGGUGGGGAUGACGUCAAGUCAUCAUGGCCCUUACGGCCUGGGCUACACACGUGCUACAAUGGUCGGUACAAAGGGUUGCCAAGCCGCGAGGUGGAGCUAAUCCCAUAAAACCGAUCGUAGUCCGGAUCGCAGUCUGCAACUCGACUGCGUGAAGUCGGAAUCGCUAGUAAUCGUGAAUCAGAAUGUCACGGUGAAUACGUUCCCGGGCCUUGUACACACCGCCCGUCACACCAUGGGAGUGGGUUGCACCAGAAGUAGCUAGUCUAACCUUCGGGAGGACGGUUAC